rnacentral:rRNA from 1 species
CCUACGGGAGGCAGCAGUGGGGAAUAUUGCACAAUGGGCGCAAGCCUGAUGCAGCCAUGCCGCGUGUGUGAAGAAGGCCUUCGGGUUGUAAAGCACUUUCAGCGGGGAGGAAGGCGGUGAGGUUAAUAACCUCAUCGAUUGACGUUACCCGCAGAAGAAGCACCGGCUAACUCCGUGCCAGCAGCCGCGGUAAUACGGAGGGUGCAAGCGUUAAUCGGAAUUACUGGGCGUAAAGCGCACGCAGGCGGUCUGUCAAGUCGGAUGUGAAAGCCCCGGGCUCAACCUGGGAACUGCAUUCGAAACUGGCAGGCUAGAGUCUUGUAGAGGGGGGUAGAAUUCCAGGUGUAGCGGUGAAAUGCGUAGAGAUCUGGAGGAAUACCGGUGGCGAAGGCGGCCCCCUGGACAAAGACUGACGCUCAGGUGCGAAAGCGUGGGGAGCAAACAGGAUUAGAUACCCUUGUAGUC